rnacentral:rRNA from 1 species
GAUGAACGCUGGCGGCGUGCCUAACACUGCAAGUCGAACGGAGUCCAGCCUUUAAGACCUUCGGGUCAAAGAGGGGAAGACUGAGUGGCGGACGGGUGAGUAACACGUGGGCAACCUGGCUCAUAGAGGGGGAUAACAGAGAGAAAUUUCUGCUAAUACCGCAUAAGCACACACUGCCGCAUGGCAGAGGGUGAAAAGAGAAUCGCUAUGAGAUGGACCCGCGUCUGAUUAGCCAGUUGGCAGGGUAAGAGCCCACCAAAGCGACGAUCAGUAGCCGAUCUGAGAGGAUGAACGGCCACAUUGGGACUGAGACACGGCCCAAACUCCUACGGGAGGCAGCAGUGGGGGAUAUUGCACGAUGGGGGGAACCCUGAUGCAGCGACGCCGCGUGAGUGAAGAAGUAUUUCGGUAUGUAAAGCUCUAUCAGCAGGGAAGAUAAUGACAGUACCUGAAUAAGAAGCCCCGGCUAACUACGUG